UUUAAUAUUUUAAAUGUAUAAUUUUUUUAAAAAAUUAAUUUAUUUUAAUUUUUAUUGAAUUUAUAGAAAAAAAUAAAUUAGAGAUGAAAUUAAAAAUAAUUUUUUAAAAAAAGAGGUGAAAAUUUAUAUUCGUGAGGUAUUUUUGAAAGAAAAAUCGAAAACUGGAGAUAAGAAAUCAAAUAAGAAAAAUUUUGCUACGUAAAACCGCUCAAUCAGCAAUCCUGACAAACCGGAGCACACCCCGUGGAAAGAUACGUUGACGUCGAUGCCACACGGGAUGCCACGUGGGCGAUCAGCGUGCCCCGCAAUCGAACGACCUAGGAUCGAUUCCACUCACAUGAACGACCUGAAUUUAUUCUCUCUUUAAACGUGAUCAGAAGGUUGAGAUCAAAUUGCGAUGAACGGUUCAGAUUCAUUUCUUCUUCAUUUCUUCCUUAAACGUGAUCGAACUGUCGUGAUCGAACUGUCGAGAUCAAACGCAAUGAACGGUCCAAAUUCGUUUUUUUCUUAGACGUGAUCGAAUGGUUCAGAUCAAAUACGAUGAAUAGUACAGAUUAACACGAGAUGAAUAUAAAUAUUUUGCAUCAAAUUAAACUCGAACCCUACCUGUCAGUCUUUUACCGAAGAAGAAGAACUAGUCGCCGGAGAAGGGAGUCGACUGCCAACUGCCGCUACACUAGAGUUACUUCCGACUAUUAAAAAAGAUAAAAAUUCUCAUAUAUGCUCAGAAUUUGAUACCGAACACCCCUAUGAUCAAAUCGGAGUAAAAUGGACGGCGGGUUAGUCAGAAACUACGAUCGAAACUCGACAGAGUCACCACAUCAAAAGUCCCAGAAGUCUUUCGAUGAGUCUUUCCUAAUUUCUGUUUUACGUGAUUUUUCGAUAAUCGUAUUCACCG
rnacentral:lncRNA from 1 species